rnacentral:rRNA from 1 species
UUAGUUGGUGGAGUGAUUUGUCUGGUUAAUUCCGUUAACGAACGAGACCUUAACCUACUAAAUAGUCGUGCGAAAUGGGACCAGCAAUGGCCCCUUUAAGUUUCGCAAAAGACUUCUUAGAGGGACUACUCGAAUUUAAGCGAGUGGAAGUUUGAGGCCAAAACAGG